AGUUGGAUGCCUACGUGUGUGAUGUGGUGUAGGGAACCUGCUUUGGCAGGGAGGUGGACUCGAUGAUCUCUAGAGGUCCCUUCCAACCCCUACAGUUCUGUGAUGAUGAGCUUCAGUAAUGGAUUGGGCCAUUUCAAGCACUGAGAUCAGUGGUUGAAAGGGUUCUGCAGGCAAUGAAAUAUCCCAAAGCAUCCCAUCAUCUGUUCCCUCUCCUCUCUUUGCAGAGCUUCGCAAUGAGACACAAAGGCAGCUCCCCACACUGGGUUCGCCUCACACGGGAAGGCCAAGAGCAUCCAUGGCAAUGGCUGAACUGCUCUCCUUCAUCUCACCCGUUCCAGGUGCAAGGCGAUGGUCCCUGUGCAUACCUGGGGGACGCCGGGCUCAGCUCCUCCCACUGCAGCCAGCGCAGGAAUUGGGUUUGCACCAAACCCGCCUUGCAAAACCCGAACAAGAACUUCUGCAUCAGCACCUGAGCUGCUCCCGGACCCCAACACGCCGUGCAAGAAGGAAGAAACGAAGGCAAAGAGCUCCGCUUUCAGCUGCUCUCGGAAGCAACGGGAGGGCAAUGCGCUCCUCCAGCCCAAGUACCACAGUGCCGCCUAUUGGGCUGCGCGGAACAAAGCGAAUCCCAGGCGGAGCUUCGGCUCCGAUUAACAUUUGUUGAACCGUCUGACUCUUGAACGAGCGCUAUAACCCCGGUUUUAGGGGCUAUCCGUGCGCUGCUGGCAACCCCUGCGCGAUGCAGCAGCAGAUUUGAGUGGGGACCCCUAUACGUGUGGGAGAGGACCCCAAUACAGGGAGGGUAGUGAGCCCAAGGGACCCAUAAAGCAGCUGAAUUCACAGGUAACGACUUUUAAUGCUGAUUGCUCAUAGGAAAUGCUUCUUGGACGCUCUCCAACACUCCUACGUGUACAACAGACCAAUUCCUUCCAGCCAUUUGAUGCAAUUAAAGAGUAUAUUUGGUUAAAGGACCCAAACCACCUUCUGGGACUGAACGGAAUAGAAGAGCACAGACCGCCCGCUUCCUUCCCCUGCCGUCGCACAACAGAAGGUCCCCAUGGAUGUGCAGACAAUGGGACAGCGUCGGAGCGGCUUCUUCUUGGGGAGGGCACGGAGCGGGCGCUGCGGCGGCACGGGGGGAGAGUGGGGGGGCAA